GACGAACGCUGGCGGCGUGCCUAAUACAUGCAAGUAGAACGCUGAAGAGAGGAGCUUGCUCUUCUUGGAUGAGUUGCGAACGGGUGAGUAACGCGUAGGUAACCUGCCUUGUAGCGGGGGAUAACUAUUGGAAACGAUAGCUAAUACCGCAUAACAAUGGAUGACACAUGUCAUUUAUUUGAAAGGGGCAAUUGCUCCACUACAAGAUGGACCUGCGUUGUAUUAGCUAGUAGGUGAGGUAACGGCUCACCUAGGCGACGAUACAUAGCCGACCUGAGAGGGUGAUCGGCCACACUGGGACUGAGACACGGCCCAGACUCCUACGGGAGGCAGCAGUAGGGAAUCUUCGGCAAUGGGGGCAACCCUGACCGAGCAACGCCGCGUGAGUGAAGAAGGUUUUCGGAUCGUAAAGCUCUGUUGUAAGUCAAGAACGAGUGUGAGAGUGGAAAGUUCACACUGUGACGGUGCUUACCAGAAAGGGACGGCUAACUACGUG
rnacentral:rRNA from 1 species